CAGAAUGCAAAAUCUUCAAGAAUUUUUGUUGUUGUUGUUGUUGUUUUUGAGUCAAGGUCUUGCUCUGUGGCCCAGGCUGGAGUACACUGGUGAGAUCACAGCUCAGUGCAGGCUCAAGUGCUCCUCCCGCCUCAGCCACAGUACUAGCUGGGACUACAGAUGCGCACAGCCACCCCUGGCUAAUAUUUUAUCUUUUGUAGAGACGGGGUCUCACUGUAUUGUCCAGGUUGGUCUCAAACUCUUUGACUCAAGGGAUCCAGGACAGGAUAACAGGUGUGAGCCACCACACCUGGCCAUGUGCAUGAACUUUUAAGACAAACACAAGGCCCCACAAAAGGUAAGGUUUUCCCACCUAAUUUCCAGGGGAUCUUUUGGUGCAAGGAUGAGAAGCCCUUAAAAGUACACAGACAACUCCAAAGAUUCAAGACAGUUCAUUCGGGCUGAGCCAGCCCACUGGGCAGACAGACCUUCAAGAAAGGCCCACGCAUGACAUACACCAGAUGGCUCUCCAAGAAUCGCUUCAGUCCUCAGGGUCCCUAAGGUACUGGACAGAGCUAGGAAAGCAAACCCAUUUGCUUCUUCCUGCACGAAACCCCUUGAGGUCAAGACCCCACAAUCAGACGAGGAUGGAGUGGCUCACCCUCAGUCAACAGGCCAGACUCAAGGUGGUAUAAUGACUUAACCAAGGGUGUGGGACUCCAGGUCUGACUCCCAACUCAGUUCUCCUUUAAUAACCACACUUUGGUAAUUCUCCUUAACAGGGGUUCCUGGCAAGUCAGUUCUCCCUCGGGCCUUUGGUUUCCUCACCUACAAGAUGAGAGGGCCGGACCAGAUGGAAAUUCGGGGUUACUCAUCCUUCAAAACUCAGUUCAGAGAUCAGCUCCUCCAAGAAGGCUUCUGUGGUUGUGGUUGGUGCUCUUUCCUACCAGUACCAGCUGUCCUGAGAGCACGUCUCUACAUCUCUACCUGCAUUCUGGAAACCGGGAGAAAGCCAAAACGGAUGACAAGACACUAGAUCAGCCGUGUCCAACCCUGUGACUACAAGGACUUUUCCGCCUAUCUUUGGUGGUGGGUAUCAUCAAAAUUCUGCACAAACCUUUUUUUUUUUUUUUUUUUUUAAGCUCAUUAGCUGUUGUUAGCAUUAGUGUAUUUUAUGUGUGGCCCAGGAGCAUUCUUCUUCCAAUGUGGGCCUGAGAAGCCAAAAGACUGGACACCUGUGCACUAAAUCAAAAGGCUAUUCCUUCUGGAAGCAAUUGUAAAGAAUUUCUCACAUUAUCUUGACAUGAAAACCAAUGGAUAGUGGGACAGAAUGCAAAAUCUUCAAGAAUUUUUGUUGUUGUUGUUGUUGUUUUUGAGUCAAGGUCUUGCUCUGUGGCCCAGGCUGGAGUACACUGGUGAG
rnacentral:lncRNA from 1 species